ACCCGCAGAGGGUCCCCUUCAGUCCUUCUUGGUGAGCAGUGGGACUGGGACUGGGACUGGGUCGGGGAGAGAACCAGGAGGUGCCUUCCGGGAGAGGAAGGCGUGUGGGGAAACGCAGUGUCCCGGCGGAGAGACAGAACCCAAACCAAACAGGAGCCUGUGGGCUCAGAGGCCGGGGAUGGCGGCGGCUGGGUCCCCGAGGCCUCAAGAGCCACAUUCCCACUGCGGUUCCGGUUCCGCUGCCAGUCCCCCCGGCAUGCACUCCAGCUGCACUGGAGCCUCUGGAGUUUCCUUCCCACAGGCAGGAAGAGAACACCCCCCCCACCACCCCCCACCACCCGGCCCCGUCGCGAUCUCCCCGGGGCUCUCCGGCUGGGCCUCCGUACCCUCCUCCGCAGGCCUUGUCAGUACAGCCUGAAGGGUCUGGCUCCAGGUCAGCCAGCUGGUCAGGGCCCAGCCGCCGGCGGCCCGUGGAAGGGGGUGAAUUUGCGUGCGGGUCCAAGAGGGCAGCCGUCCAGCCCGCACCCACCGCACCCCCACCGCCACCGCCACCCCCACUCUCUGCGCCCUGCCUCCAGCCCUCAUUGCCCGACUCCCCGGCUCUCCCUCAGCUCUAAGUCUGCGCUUUGGGGGCCAGUCUCCCCUUCCUUCCCCCCUGCCCCUUUCUGCAGGUGGAGACCCCAGCGGUCGGAGGCUGGAGAGCGGACAAGGUGGAAGUGUUGCGUGUGUCUCACCUCCCCGGGCCACACGCACACGUGCAGCAGGAGAAUCGGCGCCCCGGCUGACUGCGGAGGUGCGGGUGUGGCGCGGCGUGCGAGCCGUCCCUGCUCCCUCGGCGGGAACGCUGCCCCCCCGCGGCUGCAGGGACAGGUGCAACGGCACGGGAAGCCUCGAGGGUCCUCCCGUCGACCAGAGACCCGAAGGCGCCUCCGAGGUUCUUGCUCAUCACCACGGCCAGGCCCGUGGGGGCCCCCGCGGCAUCUCGCUUCGGCCAACGUCCGCCUCGACGCGAGCGCGCGGUGGGCAAUGGCUUGGGAACUAGCACCCUGA
rnacentral:lncRNA from 1 species